rnacentral:ncRNA from 1 species
CGUCUCCUCCAAGUCUCCAUGACGUGGAUUCAGCCCGCCAGCGAGCGGGCUUUUUGUU